GUCGGGUUUUCCACUGGCCCCCGCUCUCAUGCCCCCCGCGGUAGAAACAGCAGCUUCACGCAGCCCACCCCAGGCUGCACCCCGGACCGCUGCGCAUGUUGCUCCUGUUCUGACUCACCGUUGCUCGUCGGUAACCCCAGCCCCGUCACCUGUGCUUGCCGAAAAACGUCGCAUCCCAUCGCGCCCUGGCCUGGUGGGAGAGGGGCUGUGCAGGGAGUGGAGCACCACGUCCCCCGAUCCCCAUGGGGCCAGCAGCCGGGCAGCUUCAUGGGGCCAGGCACUGGGGCACGCCGCUGGCAGGUCGCUCGUCCCCCUCGCCCGAGGCUUGCUUUUCAGCUGCUUGCAGCUUUCCCAGAAAUUUGGAUCCAGCGCGCGGAACACGGGGUGGGAGGAGGCCGUGUGGGCUGUGCCGUCCGGCCCCGUCUUCCCCCGGGAUGCUUCCUCCCCCUGCUCCUUCCUCUGUUCCUGCUGGUGUAACCGUAGAAAUGCCAGGCCCCGGGGGGGGAGCAGAACCGCGGGGCUGGAGGCUGCGUGGCUCAGCAGGAGACCAAGGAGCAGGAGCCGCCGAUCGGCGCUUGAAGCCUGGCUGAGGUGGGGAGCGUGUGCUGCCUUUGAAGGCUGAGGGCGAUUUGUCUUUGCAACAGGCUCCCUCGGCUCCUGGUGGGCUUGCCACCAUGGGAAACCCCACCGCCGAGCUGAGCAUCUCUCCGAAAUGUCUCCUCCAGAGCAGCACGAGUCACCGCGAGGGAGACGGGGCCUGGGCGCACGGAUGGCAGACCCUUCGCACCCCGUGCUGCUGCCAGCGCUGGAUGUGCCGGGCAGGACUGCGGCAUCGCAGCUUUCUUUUAUUUUAACUGAACUUUAUCAAAAAGCCCCCUUUUACGAGGUCGCCCCCGUCCCACCCCGGUGAGGGGGUGCCUGCAUCCCCUGCCGCGGGCGGUGUCCCCUGCGCCCGCUCCCCGCCCGCUGCCCGCCCACGCGGCGGCCGCCGGAGAACAACAGGCGCUUGUCAGCGGCGCUGGCUGGUGAUAUUUCAGCGGUCCCACGGCUCUCCCUGCUAGUGGGUGGUUUUGCUGCCAUGCCAAUAGACUGGAGCUAAAGCUGUUCUCCAGGCUGUCAAACUAAUUCUUAUUUUUUUUUUUUUUCUUUUUCACCAGGCAAAUAGUAUGGGGGACUGCAAGCCCACUGCCAGCCCCGGGAGCUGGCUCCCUCUCCAUCAGACGGACAUUUCCUCCGGCUCUGGUGGUUGCUGAGGCACGUUUGGUGUUUUGGGGCGUUCUCUGCAGUGGUGCCAUGGGGAGGCAGUGGCCCCACCACCCCAAACCCCGCAAAGACGGAGCAGAGCCUGGUGCACCAAAGCGACCCCAGCUGCGCCCGCACAGGGGGCACCCGUCCCCCCGCUUGUUCCCUGUUUUCUUUUCCUUUCCCACUCGAGCAUCAGCCAUUGUCUGUCCCCGAGAUGUGCAUUCGUGCGGGAUCUCAUCUGAGGCAGGAUGGGCUGCCUGUUGGGGAGGAAGCAAGUGCAACCAAGAGCAACGUGGAACCGCCAGCGUGCCGGCACUGCCUUUCGUUCGCCUUCCCAUUGUCUUCCGCGGCGGCGGCUGCGCGCGGCUCCCCCCGUG
rnacentral:lncRNA from 1 species